UCGCAAUGGGUCGGACACGACUUCGCAAUUAACAACAACAACAACAACAUGAAAACUGUGCAACAUCUGGCUCUCAGCAUGGUAACUCUGCAUUAUGCCCUGCCCGCUGCGAACAUUGAACACCAAAAUAAAAUAAUGAUUAAAAACAAAGCAUCUCUGCCACAAUUUAUCCUCCUCCACUGGACAACAUGCUAUGUAUAAACUAACAUUAUUAUCUACACAUCGAACAUGAGAUUAUGGUCCUGAGCAGAGUAGUUUGUCUAAGGAGAACUAAUGAGUUAAAAUGGAGAGUUUUAGUUAAUAUUAGUUAAAACAUUAUUAAUGUUAAAGAUUGAUUUAUCGAACAUUUUUAAACCAGACACCUACAACUCAGCAUUUCAAAUGUACCAUCAUCAGAUCUCUAUUGACUAUGAGGAAAUGCAGUAUUAAGUAAUAAUUUAUAAUACUUCAUUUAUACAAUACUGCAAAUCGAAGCUCUAAAAGGUAUAUGAAGAAAGUUGUGAUGCUAUUAUGUACAUACAUUGUUAUUUUGCACAAAAAUGAAACUACAAAAGACCUAUGUAAAAAUGGCUGUAAACUGUACCAAUGUUACAAUGACUUUUCUUUUUCAUUCAAUUAAAAACAUUAUUUAUUCUUUGAUAAAUUAAUUAUAAGCUCUCAAAACAAAUAAAGAGUUUAAUUUAAUAAAAAGUGAGCGUUGGGGGUUUCUGUUCCAAAAACAAAGACAGGGGCACAAAUGUCUAAAACUCAUAUAUGAAUUUUGGUAAUCUUGACUGCAUUUUUGUAAAUGUUGACAAUUUGUCAAGACUUGGAACAGCCAAAGAAUUCAUUUAGCUUUUUAAUGCGGUGUCCACCAAACUUUGAAGACUGACUAUAACAGGUGUAGCUUUUGCUACUCUGGAAGAGUAAUAAAGUUAUUUUCUUAUUAGUAGAUUAGCAGUAAAAACGAUAGGUGUCUAGAACUUGCUGCUUUCAAUCCCUCAUUUAUAUUAAUAACUGCCAUUCCCAUAACCAUGCAUUAAAUGAUGGAACUUUUCCUUAAAUAUUCCUGCUAAAUUUAAAAUACACGUGGAGAAAAUUAUGGUUGUAGUUGUGAUCACAAGAUAUUAGAAAUUCUAAGUACUUUCUCUUUUUCUUUACCAAUGCCUCUGCCACUUUUUACAUUUAAUGCAAAUAUUAUUGAUGUUUAUAAAUUGUCCUAAAAUCAUUACAUCACUUUUAUAGGUCCAUUUGACUACGUGUACACAUGCACUAAUGCAUAUUACUGCUUCCCUUCGAUGCAGUUCAAAUAUUUGGAUUCAGAAAUGGGAAAAAUGGAACAAAGAAUCCAAAGAAGAAUGUCAAAACAGCAAUGGUGGACUGUAAGCAAGAAGAAGAAACCAGACCCACUCAUAUAUUUUCAGCCCCUUGUGAUGUAAGGGUAGGGAGACUACAUGGUGCCAUCCAGUUCACUGAGUUUAAACACAAACACAAGACACAAAGACACAUGCAGACACCACAUGAUAAUGGCACCAAAUUGCUUUGGGACAAAAAGGAUUCCAAGUUGUUAGAAAGGACUGGAUAGAAUGUCUUCUCUUUCUUUCUACUAUAAUGUCAGUAGUUUGAGUAAUUUUGGAGUUAACAACCCAGAAAUACCAAGAAUUAGGCUUGUAGCACACUUUUCCCAAGGCUGUGAAUACUUGAUUGUGGGUCUCUGACUGUGUUAAAGGCCCUGUUUCCUGACUGUAUUAACAUCCGAAAGGAAAAUGCAUUAGCAUCCAUUAUAACAGUUUUACUUGGAGCCAUAUAUAUUUAUGUUGUACUCUUUUAACUGUUUUAAUGCUUUAUGAUGUAUGCCACCCAGAAUCAUUUGUUGAGAUAGGAGCUAUAGAAAUCAAAUAAGUAAAUAAAUAAAAAUUGUUACUAUUGAAUAUUUCAUGCUUUCUCUUUCCUUAUAGAUUAGAACAAAAACUGGGAAAUUUCCUAUUGAGGAAAUUGAGGAGUUUCAAUUCACAAAUGAAUAGGGAAAGACUAUAUAUCCAUUCACAGUAAAGUUAUAAUGCCACCAGCCUCUACUGCAUUUUAUACAGCAUAAGGUGGCAGAUUAUUGCGUUGGAAGGAUACAUGUUCUGAAAUUUGACAGCGGAAGAAUAGAAGGCUAAAUAAAACAGAAUAUGAAGUCCAUUUCACCUAUCUUGUCUCAGAGAAAAUGAGACCUUCUACAACACAGAUGUCAUCUAGACAUGAAGGACUGUUGAGGAGAAUAUCACCAGGUGUUUUAGAAAGUAUUCCCCAGGAACAGGAAUUGACAUGAAAUAGCUAGAUAGACAUGAUAGUUCUUUGGCCAUCAGAUUGAUCUUGAUUUUACUAUGGAUUGAAUGUGAGAACAAAACCAGAGAGAAAAAGAGAGAGAAAGAAGUCCGAUAAAAUAUAUAAUCUUGACAAUAAAGAGAAUGAUUGGUAUUAAUAGAGGAUAAAAUAAAUGUUUGAGAGAAUAUUGCUUGGCCUUGAAUAUUCUGAGUUUUGAAUGAUGGUUUAAAAAAAUGCAAGAGAGAACUGGUGGUAGGACAAAGUCGAGUAACGGUGAUAGGCUGUAUGCUACUUUGGCAGGAAAACAAUGAGAUUCAGUAAAAUCAGAAUAAAAGCUACAUGGGUGAAAUGUACUAAUGUGAGAGCGGAUAAAUUAAUGAAUUUUUUUUAUGAUAAAUAUCCUCACAAGCCUCGAGGGAAUACUUAACCUGCUUUUUCUUUCUCCUACAGGAGAUUCUUUCAUUCUGUCAACUCUACAAAUGAGCAUGGCUGCAGCCAUUUUUCCUUACUCAUUUUCGGUUGCCACAUCGAACAGAGGGAGGAGGGUUGCCUAGGUGCUUUGCUAGUCAAAAUAAUCUUUUGUCCUGUGGGAACCAAGGUCAUCGGCUGCUCCCAAGACUGCAGGCUGGGCAUUGUGAAAAAGGCCCACCAAGAAGAUGUACUGGGGAACAUAGUUGCUUGCAUAGUUUUAGAGGGAUUUUUUAACUUUUAACUUUGUAUUGGGGAAUUGUUACGUGCAUCUCCAGACUUGAUUUCACUUUUGACGUGCCGAUAUUUUGUAAUAAACAUGUUCUUUGAGGAA